AAUUACGUAUGAUAAAAAUAAAAGGAUAUACAGAUGCAUAAAGUUCCAGAAAAAGAACACAUAAAGAAAUUGUGGUUAUCUGCAUUAAACAUCAAGCAGAUUAGUCCAAAUGCAAGAGUGUGUUCAAAACAUUUUAAUGAACAGGAUUUCACAAAAAGUAUUGUUGGGGAAAGAAAAUAUGUCAAAUAAUGUGUAGUAUUGUAAUUUUUUAUAAAUGUAAAUAAAUAAAAUUUUCUAUAUAUCAACAA